rnacentral:rRNA from 1 species
UACGAAGGGUGCAAGCGUUACUCGGAAUUACUGGGCGUAAAGCGUGCGCAGGCGGUUGUGCAAGACAGAUGUGAAAUCCCCGGGCUUAACCUGGGAACUGCAUUUGUGACUGCAUCGCUGGAGUGCGGCAGAGGGGGAUGGAAUUCCGCGUGUAGCAGUGAAAUGCGUAGAUAUGCGGAGGAACACCGAUGGCGAAGGCAAUCCCCCUGGGCCUGCACUGACGCUCAUGCACGAAAGCGUGGGGAGCAAACAGG